rnacentral:rRNA from 1 species
CCUACGGGAGGCAGCAGUGGGGGAGAGUGCACAAUGGGGGAAACCCUGAUGCAGCGACGCCGCGUGUGGGAAGACGGUCCUCUGGAUUGUAAACCACUGUCCCCAGGGACGAAGAUGACGGGACCGGGGGAGGAAGCGCCGGCGAACUACGUGCCAGCAGCCGCGGUAAUACGGCGGGAGCGAGCGUUGUCCGGAAUUACGGGGGGUAAAUGGAGCGGAGGCGGGCCUGCAAGGUGGGUGUCAAAUCUACCGGCGCAACCGGUAGCCGCACUCCAAACUGCCGUUCUUGAGGGAAGUAGCGGCAGGCGGAAUUCCUAGUGUAGCCGUUCACUGCUUAGAUCUUAGGCGGCACACCAGUGGCGAAGGCGGCCUGCUGGGCUUUUCCUGCCGCUGCGGCUCG